rnacentral:rRNA from 1 species
AUUGAACGCUGGCGGCAGGCCUAACACAUGCAAGUCGAGCGAGCGGCGGACGGGUGAGUAAUGUCUGGGAAACUGCCUGAUGGAGGGGGAUAACUACUGGAAACGGUAGCUAAUACCGCAUACCAUCAGAUGUGCCCAGAUGGGAUUAGCUGGUAGGUGGGGUAACGGCUCACCUAGGCGACGAUCCCUAGCUGGCCUGAGAGGGUGACCCGCCACAUUGGAACUGAGACACGGUCCAGACUCCUACGGGAGGCAGCAGUGGGGAAUAUUGGACAAUGGGCGCGAGCCUGACGCAGCCAUGCCGCGUGUGUGAAGAAGGCCUUCGGGUUGUAAAGCACUGUCAGCGGGGAGGCGUUACCCACAGAGGAAGCACCGGCUAACUACGUGCCAGCAGCCGCGGUAAUAC